AUCAUUUUGGCAGAAAAGUGCUUUGAAUUUAGAAUUCAAUAAUAUAAGAAUUUAUAUGUGAUA
rnacentral:tRNA from 1 species